rnacentral:tRNA from 1 species
GCCUGGGUGGCUCGGCCGGUUAAGCAUCUGACUUCGGCUCAGGUCCUGAUCUCACGGGUUCGUGGGUUCGAGUCCUGCGCCGGGUG